CUUAAAUAUCCUCUUCAUUGGAGAGAGGAAAGUGAAUGAAUAGACCCAAGGACAAGAUAAUGAUUUAUCAAAGAUUCUCUUUGGAUGCUGAAUGCAACCAAAAAACACACAAUAGCUGGUGGACAAGUUAGAGAAGGGUGUGGGGCAGAACUGCAUUGUGAACAAUGGUUGUCUUAUUACGCAAGUACAGUUCCCCAAGUAAUUUCUCACAACUGCCCUUAAAAGAAUCGAUGAAAAGUCUGUCUGCAUGUGGUUACAAUUUCCAGUCUCUCCUCUUCUCCAGUGUUAAUCCUUCCUGGUUAUUUAAUGAGAUUCCUAAGAAGAGGGUUUUAAGAUAAUUUCCUUUAAUUUACAAGAAGUUUUCUCAGACAAAUACGGAAAUUUCAGAGAAAGUCCCUUUUGGAAAAUAAAAAGGAUCAGAGAAACAGGAAGGCAGAGGAAGGUCAGAGGGAGACCUUAAAGGUCUCCCUUUACUUUGGCAUGCCAGAGCAGCAUAUUUUGAGGUAUUGGUUUCUGAGCCCCAACAAGGUAAACAACUAUUAUUAUAACCAUUUUAGAGUUGAAGAAAAAGGAGCAAAAAUAAUUUAAUAAUUUCUGCAAGGUCACACCACUGGUUACUACAUUUGUCAAGAAGUCUCAAUGUGUAGAGGGUAGACAUACAUUACAAGAUGACUUCAUAUUUGGAUACACUAUAUGGGUUUGAGAUAGGAUUUUUUGGUACCUAUAAUAGUCAUAUUGGCAAAUGUUACAAUGGUGGCAGUAGAGUAUCUUGGUUAACAGUACAGACUCUAGAGACAGACUGCUCAAAUUCAGAUUUCAGCUCUGGCACCCUAGCUGUGUGACCUUAGUCAAGUUAAUUAAUACCUCUGUGCCUAAGUUUUCUCAUCUCUAAAAUUGGGAUAAUUAUAAUAGAUAGUUAUGAAAAUUAAAUAAGAUAAUUAAAUAGACAGCUCCCUUCCAGUAAGGCUUCAAUAAAUGUUAACUAAUAUCCAAAGAAGUAAUAAACAAAAUGACAAAAAAGCAUCAAAUAAAAAUUAACACAUAAAUAGAGGCGUUUGCUCCUAGACUGAGCUAUGAAAAAUGAGACUUCCUUUGGAAAAUUCCAAUUAGGCUUUCGUCUGUUAACAUUUAGAGUAUAGUGAAAAUUAAAAAAUAGCACAAAAACAUAGUAACUUAAUUUCGACUCUAUUGUAUGUCAUAAAAUAAUUAGCUAUUCACUCUUCUCAAAUGAAGAGAGCUGGUAGCUCACUGCUGGGUGAGACCUCAGUGAAAACUCAUUCACAGAAAGAACCAGGAUCAGUUUUCUAGCAUUUAGGAAAAAACAUCCAAAGAGAUAUAAACAAAAGUCUGCAGACACAGCCCAGAGAAAGUCUGAUAGGUGAAUAGAAGCCAAGUGAGCUAGGGAGAAUGCCUUUCUCACCCCUCCAAUCGACACUUACAAGUUCCCAAGCUUGAUGACCUUGGCUCAUCCUAAAAAAGACAUCUGUACCACAUCUGGUAAGACAGGGGAUAAGGGGACACAGAAUGAAAGAAUUUUAUACUGAAAUGGGACAUUGGUCCAAACACUGAGGCAAUAGAGAUCCUGAAACAGGAGUAAGUGACUCACACAAAACGGCUAGAAUCCAGGUUUCCAAGCAUGGUCGGUUCAGUGCUCUUUGAUUCUACCACCUUGCCUCAUUUACUGCUGAACGGCAGAGGCAUUUUCAGAAAAGCACAUCUCAAAGGACAAGAUCAAAUGACAUUGUAACUGAAGUCUGCAUUUUUGGCCCACUUCAAAUGCGGAGAGAUACACCUGCAGUUUCUGAAUGGAUUUCUUCAACAAUGCCGCCUAAUUGACUCACAUUAAAAAUACUUUGAUCGACCCAUCUCUUUGUCACAUGAAGCUGGAAACACUAACAGAGGCUGUUGGAAAGAAAGGUCUGGUUCCGUGGCCAAAUACCUUGACUUUUCCAAAAACAGACUUUUUCUGUCUCUUCAGAAGAAGAAUUACAUGCAAUGGGAAGAUUGAUGUUCCUCUGUCAGAAAGCUACCUUGGAACAGGUGCUCCCAAUUAAUUUCCAUGAGCCACAUUUAUCCUGUGGUCAGAUAAUUAAAAAAAAAAUAACCUGGAUAAACCUUCUUUUGCCAGUCUAAUAACCACAUUUGAUGUAAUAAAACAGCAAGCACUUAGGAAUAUUCCAAUAAAAAAGAUUUAUUUUUAUUCUAGUAUAUAUUAUAAUGAAUAAUAUUAUUGAUAUUAUAGAAUUUAAAAUUACAUUAAAUCAGAGCUAUUUAUGUUUAUUAUGCAAAAUGUACACAAUAUAGAAAAAUAUAAAGAAAAAUUUCAAUACACAAAGUAUGGAUAUGCUUUAUUUUCACUCCAUUUUCACAUAUAUAUUGACACAGAUGCAGUCAAACAUUAUUUAGAGUUUUAUGAAUUAAUAACACAGUCAUUAAAAAGUAAUUAACCAAGUAAUAUUCAUAGUCAUUGCAAACUAAUUGGAAAAUAUAAAUAAAUAAAAUAUAAGCAUCACUUUCUUUUUAGUAGCACAAUACUUUUUCUGAUACAUGUUAUUUCUAUUUUUUUGCUUUAAAAUUCAAAAGAUUAUAUUUAUGCAGUAAUGGAUUUUUGUGGUUGUUAUAGAGCCCAUGUGCCCUGGGGAAGGAUUUUAAAUAUCAUGAAACUGAGUUCUUUCCAGUUUUCUUUCUCAUUAAGGGGACUGAAGAGAUCAGCCCCUUAGCAAAGAUUUGACUGAGAUAUAAUAGAGACAAUUAUGUACUCUAUUACCAAUUCGGAUGGACUUUAUGGUAUUUAAAUGAACAAAGCUCUCUUUGUCAUUUCAUUAACAUGAUUCCUUUUCAGAGAAUGAGCAGUUCUCAUCUCCUUCCUCCAUUUUGGGAAAACAGCCCAAUUUUUCUCAAGCUCAUUUGAAAGGCAAAAUGGUUGUUGAUCUCUCCAUAAUUGAUUGAGGAUGUGUCUGGCCGCUGAGAGUACCUGAAUCCAUGGCUUAUAUCAGACCACACUAGAGUGAGAAGUGCCAUGUUCUAUUUGGGUGGAAUAGUUAGAGGUUCAAAAACCACAGAACAUAACAAGCAUUAUUAAUUUAUAAUUCCGUGGCAUUUGUUAGCUUGUUUUUCUCAUUUUUUCUUUUUCCCUCUUAAAAAAUGAAACGUGUAACGUCUGAGACCAGAACAUAUUGUUCUAAAAGGGUUCAAAUUUAAAAUGCUGAAUUUCUUCAUUUGAACUUUACCCAAUUAUGAGAAUUUUAAUACUUGCAAAUUAUUUUUUAUUGUUUUAUUUUACUUUUAAAAGUAAUUUUAUACAUUAGCUAGUCUUACUAAUUAAAAUGCAUACAUCCAAAUUGCCCAUAUUUAAGAAGCAUGUCAAAAAUAAAUGAAAAUAAUGGAUCCAGAUGAACAAUGAGCUUUUAUUUUACUUUGGCAUAUUUUAAGAACUAUAAGCUCAGAAGUAUGUAUGCAUAUUAUUUUAUAUAUUGUACAUUAUUAUAUGUACAUUAUCAUAUACACGUAAGCAUAUUCAUGUAUUACCUAUCAUAGACGUUUGAAAUGCUUGUUUCUCGGUGCCGUAAAGAAUAGCACUUGAACAUAAAUUUAAUUUACUCAGCAAGGCCGUUUUUAUACUUUCUGCAGAAAGGGUACACUCACCAGCAGUUUUGCCAGGAGAGUACACCAAACAAAGGAGACAGGGUCAUUUCCAACCUGCAGUGCCCACCAUACUGUUGUGUCCAGUUUCCGUUGGCUGGAACGGGGCCUCACAUUUUGUUUUGUCUCGAUUGACUGGCGACUUAGAACUUUUUAAAGAGGCAAAAGUAGAAGAGAACAAAGGAGAGAGGAAGUAACUUGUGGAAUGCUGAGAAAGGUAAAAACACCUUUAAAUAAGGAAAAGGAACAGGCUAUGACCUAAUGCUUGCUUCAACCAGUAUAAGCCUGCCAGGGCAAAUAUUUAGGCCAAAUUGUGGGAGCUAAGAACAUAAAGUACGUUGAUUUCUUUACCACAGCUAGCAGAUAUUUAAGAAUGUUAGCACAGGUCUUUGAAUAAAUUUUGCUUCUAAGAGAAGUUACUAUUUAUUCCUAAUAAAUGGGGAGGAAAAUCUUUGAAGAGGAACCUUUACUUUAUUUUUUACAAUAGAGUUCAAUAUAAAAGCUGGGGAGGGGCUGGGCGUGGUGGCUCACGCCUGUAAUCCCAGCAUUUUGGGAGGCCGAGGCGGGCGGAUCACAAGGUCAGGAGAUCGAGACCAUCCUGGCUAACACGGUGAAACCCCGUCUCUACUAAAAAUACAAGAAAUCAGCCGGGCGUGGUGGCGGGCACCUGUAGUCCCAGCUACUCGGGAGGCUGAGGCAGGAGAAUGGCAUGAACCCGGGAGGCAGAGCUUGCGGUGAGCUGAGACCGCACCACUGCACUCCAGCCUGGGAGACAGAGCGAGACUCGUCUCAAAAAAAAAACAAACAAACAAAACCUGGGGAGGAUUUUCUGCCUUAUAGAUACUAAGAAGAGACCUCCAUAUUGUCUCUUUGGGUCUUGGUAAUGCUUAUAUAAGCUACCACCUUGUAUAAGACAUCGAACCACAUACCUUGAGCCUGCUCUCUCAGUAUUACUCUUCUAAGAGUGAAAAGAAGUAGUCCAGUAUUGAACAUUAGUUAAAAUAAGGACACAAAUGUCUGUGUAAUUAAGUUCUUAAACAACAGAGUAGAAAUGGAAACAAACUUUAAAUACCCUACUUAAGAUCUGUAAAAUUCUUUGGAACUACCCAAGUUUCUGUGUUACUUCAUGGAUCUUUUGCCUAAGAUGAGACCUCUUCCUCGAGUGCUCUUUUAUCCAUUUCGACUCAUCCCUGAGACCCGUAAUUUAGCUAAAUCCCAUUCAUUGUUUGAGUAAAGUGAGUACAGAUUUUGGGGACCUAAAGCAUGUGUAGGUUUGAGGGACUUAUUUUAAGAAAAAGAAUAUAAAGUUACAAAUAGAAAGGGUAUGUUGGAAAUGAAAGUUGAUUAUGAAUAAGAAAAUAAAUCACAACAAAUAACUGCACACUUAAGAUUCAGCCCAAUUUCUUCCAAGAUCUCUUUAGGUAAUUUAAUGAAAAUACUUAAGAAGAAAUGAUACCUGUUUGCAUCCUGGAUUUUCCUCCCCAAAUUUAACACCCGUUCCUCUCUGGGACCUGCCCAAGGGAGAAACCAAAAAACUGAAGUUUCUUUAAAAAUUUUGUUUUAAUUGACACAUUGUACAUAUGGGAUACAAUGAAAUCUUAUCCCCUGUGACAACAUGAAUAAACUUGGAUCACAUCAUGUUAAGUAAAAUAAGCCAGACACAGGACAAAUAAUAAUCACACUCAUGUGAAAUCUAAAAAAAAAAAAAAAAAGUUGUUAUCAUAGAAGCAGAGUGGAACAGUGGUUAACCAGAGACUGUCGGGGGAGAAUGAAGAGAGGUUGGUCAAGCGCUUCUUGAGCAUUAUGGCAAGUCUCAGGCUGUCCCUUCUUGUAAGAAAUCUUCUUUGUUUGCUUUCAGUAUUCCUCCCCUGAGCUUCUGUGGCAUAUUAUGUCCUCCUCUAUCUUAGCAUUUACCACCUUGUAUUUUAAGUGCCCUAAUUAGAAUAGGAGUCUUUCGGAUAGGAAAUUUGAAUCCCUCCCCAUUUUAUCCCCAAUUUUCAGCACAGUUCUUAUCAUAUAAUAUGCACCAAAUAAAUAUUUUCCAAUAAUAGCAAAUAAUUGCAUAGUGCUUACCAUAUACCGGGCUCUCUUCUAAGUAUUUUACAUCUCUUCACUAGAACAAAGCUAACUUUAUUAUCAAUAUUAUAUAGAUGAGGAAACUAAGAAGUAGAGAGCUUAAAUAACUUGCCUAAGUCCAGAGAGUUAGUUCACACUGGAGCUGAAAUUCAAACCCAGGCGGUGUGCUAAUACAGUUCAUGCUCUUGACCCCAUGCAAUACUACCUCUCAAAAGGAAUGCUUUUCUUCAUUCUUGCUUUAAGUGGCAUUUCAACUCCAUGCCUCAAGGCAUGGUUUGCUACAAUGGCCGACUCCUUAAGAAUUGAUAAUCCAAUUUGUGAAUUUUUGAAGACUUGCAGCCUCUUCACCCCCCCUACAGCUUCUUGCCUGUAGGAAACACAUGCUUGUUAGUACCUCCCCAGAGAUGUUGUCAGGAGAUGAGACCAUAUUACUUCCAUUGUCCUCUACAACCCCCAGUUAUUCUUAAUCCUACUGGGGUCUCUAGAAGCUAAUCUUGCAGUAGUUUGUCUGUAAGUGUGGAUUCCAAAUAGGAAGUAACCCUUUAUUACCUAUACUUAACCUUUUCACCCCUUAAGGGUUGAUCAUCCGAACCAAUCCUCUCCUUGGAAAGAUAUGUUAAGUACACAAAUGGAAGCUCAAAAUAUGUCCUUUCAGCAGUUGAAAGAUUUUUAGUGGCAGAGUGACAGAAUAAAAACUAUAUUUAAAGAGGAUUAGGAGAUGCAUUGAAGAAGAGGAAGAGAUGGGAGAUGAGGAGAUGAGUGAAGAGCAAAUUGGUUUCGUGCUGCAACAGCUUCCAAUGUGGACACUGACCCUGCAAACCUGCCAACCAUUUCUAACACUUUACUUUAAAAUAAUUAUUUCCUGAAACUGAUUUUGGUAUAAUUUCCCAAGUCUAGUGAUUCUCAUAACAGUUUACUUUGAGAACCUUGUGUAUCAGUCCAUUCUCACACUACUAUAAAGAACUGCCCAAGACUGGGUAAUUUAUAAAGGAAAGAGGUUUAACUGACUCACAGUUCCGCAGGGCUGGGGAAGCCUCAGGAAACUUACAAUCGUAGUAGAAGGGGAAACAAAUGCAUCCUUCUUCAAAUGGCGUCAGGAAGGAGAAGUAGUGCUGAGCAAAGGGGGAAAAGCCCCUUAUAAAAACAAUCAAAUCUUGUCAGAACUCACUCACCAUCAUGAGAAAAGCAGCAUGGGG
rnacentral:lncRNA from 10 species